rnacentral:rRNA from 1 species
CAGCAGCCGCGGUAAGACAAAGGAUGCAAGCGUUAUCCGGAAUAAUUGGGCGUAAAGCGUCUGUAGGUGGCUUUUCAAGUCCGCCAUCAAAUCCCAGGGCUCAACCCUGGACAGGCGGUGGAAACUACCAAGUUGGAGUACGGUAGGGGCAGAGGGAAUUUCCGGUGGAGCGGUGAAAUGCGUUGAGAUCGGAAAGAACACCAACGGCGAAAGCACUUUGUUGGGCUGACAUUGACACUGAGAGACAAAAGCUAGGGGAGCAAAUGGGAUUAGAUACCCGUGUAGUCCCUGUCUCUUAUAC